rnacentral:rRNA from 1 species
ACGGCGGCCGUAACUAUAACGGUCCUAAGGUAGCGAAAUUCCUUGUCGGGUAAGUUCCGACCCGCACGAAAGGCGCAACGAUCUGGGCACUGUCUCAACGAGAGACUCGGUGAAAUUAUAGUACCUGGGAAGAUGCAGGUUACCCGCGACAGGACGGAAAGACCCCGUGGAGCUUUACUGCAACCUGAUAUGGAAUGUUUGUACCGC